rnacentral:rRNA from 1 species
GGGUUGUGAGGUUAAGCGACUAAGCGUACACGGUGGAUGCCCUGGCAGUCAGAGGCGAUGAAGGACGUGCUAAUCUGCGAUAAGCGUCGGUAAGGUGAUAUGAACCGUUAUAACCGGCGAUUUCCGAAUGGGGAAACCCAGUGUGUUUCGACACACUAUCAUUAACUGAAUCCAUAGGUUAAUGAGGCGAACCGGGGGAACUGAAACAUCUAAGUACCCCGAGGAAAAGAAAUCAACCGAGAUUCCCCCAGUAGCGGCGAGCGAACGGGGAGCAGCCCAGAGCCUGAAUCAGUGUGUGUGUUAGUGGAAGCGUCUGGAAAGGCGCGCGAUACAGGGUGACAGCCCCGUACACAAAAAUGCACAUGCUGUGAGCUCGAUGAGUAGGGCGGGACACGUGGUAUCCUGUCUGAAUAUGGGGGGACCAUCCUCCAAGGCUAAAUACUCCUGACUGACCGAUAGUGAACCAGUACCGUGAGGGAAAGGCGAAAAGAACCCCGGCGAGGGGAGUGAAAAAGAACCUGAAACCGUGUACGUACAAGCAGUGGGAGCACGCUUAGGCGUGUGACUGCGUACCUUUUGUAUAAUGGGUCAGCGACUUAUAUUCUGUAGCAAGGUUAACCGAAUAGGGGAGCCGAAGGGAAACCGAGUCUUAACUGGGCGUUAAGUUGCAGGGUAUAGACCCGAAACCCGGUGAUCUAGCCAUGGGCAGGUUGAAGGUUGGGUAACACUAACUGGAGGACCGAACCGACUAAUGUUGAAAAAUUAGCGGAUGACUUGUGGCUGGGGGUGAAAGGCCAAUCAAACCGGGAGAUAGCUGGUUCUCCCCGAAAGCUAUUUAGGUAGCGCCUCGUGAAUUCAUCUCCGGGGGUAGAGCACUGUUUCGGCAAGGGGGUCAUCCCGACUUACCAACCCGAUGCAAACUGCGAAUACCGGAGAAUGUUAUCACGGGAGACACACGGCGGGUGCUAACGUCCGUCGUGAAGAGGGAAACAACCCAGACCGCCAGCUAAGGUCCCAAAGUCAUGGUUAAGUGGGAAACGAUGUGGGAAGGCCCAGACAGCCAGGAUGUUGGCUUAGAAGCAGCCAUCAUUUAAAGAAAGCGUAAUAGCUCACUGGUCGAGUCGGCCUGCGCGGAAGAUGUAACGGGGCUAAACCAUGCACCGAAGCUGCGGCAGCGACGCUUAUGCGUUGUUGGGUAGGGGAGCGUUCUGUAAGCCUGCGAAGGUGUGCUGUGAGGCAUGCUGGAGGUAUCAGAAGUGCGAAUGCUGACAUAAGUAACGAUAAAGCGGGUGAAAAGCCCGCUCGCCGGAAGACCAAGGGUUCCUGUCCAACGUUAAUCGGGGCAGGGUGAGUCGACCCCUAAGGCGAGGCCGAAAGGCGUAGUCGAUGGGAAACAGGUUAAUAUUCCUGUACUUGGUGUUACUGCGAAGGGGGGACGGAGAAGGCUAUGUUGGCCGGGCGACGGUUGUCCCGGUUUAAGCGUGUAGGCUGGUUUUCCAGGCAAAUCCGGAAAAUCAAGGCUGAGGCGUGAUGACGAGGCACUACGGUGCUGAAGCAACAAAUGCCCUGCUUCCAGGAAAAGCCUCUAAGCAUCAGGUAACAUCAAAUCGUACCCCAAACCGACACAGGUGGUCAGGUAGAGAAUACCAAGGCGCUUGAGAGAACUCGGGUGAAGGAACUAGGCAAAAUGGUGCCGUAACUUCGGGAGAAGGCACGCUGAUAUGUAGGUGAAGUCCCUCGCGGAUGGAGCUGAAAUCAGUCGAAGAUACCAGCUGGCUGCAACUGUUUAUUAAAAACACAGCACUGUGCAAACACGAAAGUGGACGUAUACGGUGUGACGCCUGCCCGGUGCCGGAAGGUUAAUUGAUGGGGUCAGCGCAAGCGAAGCUCUUGAUCGAAGCCCCGGUAAACGGCGGCCGUAACUAUAACGGUCCUAAGGUAGCGAAAUUCCUUGUCGGGUAAGUUCCGACCUGCACGAAUGGCGUAAUGAUGGCCAGGCUGUCUCCACCCGAGACUCAGUGAAAUUGAACUCGCUGUGAAGAUGCAGUGUACCCGCGGCAAGACGGAAAGACCCCGUGAACCUUUACUAUAGCUUGACACUGAACAUUGAGCCUUGAUGUGUAGGAUAGGUGGGAGGCUUUGAAGUGUGGACGCCAGUCUGCAUGGAGCCGACCUUGAAAUACCACCCUUUAAUGUUUGAUGUUCUAACGUUGACCCGUAAUCCGGGUUGCGGACAGUGUCUGGUGGGUAGUUUGACUGGGGCGGUCUCCUCCUAAAGAGUAACGGAGGAGCACGAAGGUUGGCUAAUCCUGGUCGGACAUCAGGAGGUUAGUGCAAUGGCAUAAGCCAGCUUGACUGCGAGCGUGACGGCGCGAGCAGGUGCGAAAGCAGGUCAUAGUGAUCCGGUGGUUCUGAAUGGAAGGGCCAUCGCUCAACGGAUAAAAGGUACUCCGGGGAUAACAGGCUGAUACCGCCCAAGAGUUCAUAUCGACGGCGGUGUUUGGCACCUCGAUGUCGGCUCAUCACAUCCUGGGGCUGAAGUAGGUCCCAAGGGUAUGGCUGUUCGCCAUUUAAAGUGGUACGCGAGCUGGGUUUAGAACGUCGUGAGACAGUUCGGUCCCUAUCUGCCGUGGGCGCUGGAGAACUGAGGGGGGCUGCUCCUAGUACGAGAGGACCGGAGUGGACGCAUCACUGGUGUUCGGGUUGUCAUGCCAAUGGCACUGCCCGGUAGCUAAAUGCGGAAGAGAUAAGUGCUGAAAGCAUCUAAGCACGAAACUUGCCCCGAGAUGAGUUCUCCCUGACCCUUUAAGGGUCCUGAAGGAACGUUGAAGACGACGACGUUGAUAGGCCGGGUGUGUAAGCGCAGCGAUGCGUUGAGCUAACCGGUACUAAUGAACCGUGAGGCUUAACCUUACAACGCCGAAGG